UACGGGGGGGGCAAGCGUUGUUCGGAAUUACUGGGCGUAAAGGGUUUGUAGGUGGCCAACUAAGUCAGACGUGAAAUCCCUCAGCUUAACUGGGGAACUGCGUCUGAUACUGGUUGGCUUGAGUGCAGGAGAGGAACGCGGAAUUCCAGGUGUAGCGGUGAAAUGCGUAGAUAUCUGGAGGAACACCGGUGGCGAAGGCGGCGUUCUGGACUGCAACUGACACUGAGGAGCGAAAGCCAGGGGAGCAAACGGG
rnacentral:rRNA from 1 species